rnacentral:lncRNA from 1 species
CCUAGAAAGCUCCUCUAAAAAAAUUUAUUUCCUUGUAAGCCUAAAAAACUCUUCGAUCAUCAUGACACUUUUUGAGUUCCCACUUAUUCGUCCUAUUAACUUUGCACUUGACACCAGUUUAUUCCUUGUAUUGCAUUAUCUUUUGAAAACCCAAGGUAACAAUAAGUUCUUUGUUCUCUAUUUCUUCUUCUUCAUUUUUCUUAGUAAUAUUAAAGUCAAUUUCAAGCACUACAAUUCUUCAUAAUUCAUGCUCUUUCUGGACCUUUGAGAUCGGAGUUUCUCAUUUCAAUGUUUAACUUGACAUGCUAUAAUGAAUAAUUUAGUGGUGUUGCUUUCACUCUUGGUAUCUUUUAUAUCUCUAAAAUGCUCUUCUGUAUUUGAAACAUUUCAAACCUAUGUUUGAUUGGUAAAAAGUUUUUAUUGUUAGUUUGACCUAUUUGUUUGAUUUCAUGGGUUAAGCAUUGAGAGACUAUUUCAAAACUUAGGAUUUAAAAAGUCUUUAUGGGGUUUGGUGUAGUUAUUGACUUGUUGCUUGGUCUAAUUAAAAUAACUAUUGCAAUAGUUCAAAUCUUAUUUCAUUUUCUUUUAAUUUCUCUACAAAGCAUUAUUGUUCUUAACUAUCCUAUGAUUCCUUAUUACUGUGGUUAUAAAAUAGUUUAAGAAUUUCUCAAUGAUAAGUGUAACUACAAUCCUAGUCUAAAAGGAUAUUCAUCUAUAAUAAAUAUGGUAAAAAUUCAAAAACAAUUGUGGACCCCGCAUUGCGAUGCAUGCAUUUCCACUCGAAUGAUGCGACUCGCUUUUUAUUUUUAAAAUUGAUUUUUUGAAAAGUUUUUGAAGUCACCACUUAUUUUUGUUUUAUUUUUAAAGGAAAAAACAAAAUAGAAAAGAAAAAUCUUAAAUGUGACUUCUAAAGGAAAAACGGGUCUGUGAAAAAUCGAGUCUAGGUUCGGGGGUCGGGUUACCUAUUGGGAAGGUACGAUGAUGAACCGUAGCACCCCUCUAAGCCCUAAAAAUUAGGUUUCUACUAAUUAAGUUAAAACAAGUAUGAAAAUUGAUAAAUUAAACAUGGAUGCCAAAAGAAUAUCAAUCUAGAAAUAAUCAAAUAAACAAGAAAGACAAGGUGUGUACCUGAGUAGUAAGCCGAUUGUUUCAUGGAAAAAAAAAUGUUAGUAAAUAAAUACAGAAUAAUCACAUGUGUCACAAAGCAAAUCAAGGUCAAUCAAUGUUCAAUCACAAAUAUUAGGCCCCACCAAUGGCCAAAUUAUUUUUACAUAAAUUAAUUCCAUGAAUUCCAUUAUUUGAAAUUAUGAAAUCUAUUUGUGCUUAUUAAAAAAAUGUGAAGGUCGAAAAAUUAUUAAAAAUCAAGGAAUUUUGUAAAAAAAAAUGCUUGCCAAAGAGAAAAAUGGCAGCAAAAACAUAUUAAAAUUGGAAAACAUUUAAAAUAAAGGGAAAAAAAAAAAGAAAAAAAUGCAUGCCCAAAGGAAAAUGGCAGAAAUUGAUUUAUAUAAAUUAGAUUUUUAGAGUCCUAAAGAUGUCCAAUGAUGAAUAAAAAAGAACUAAAGAGAUAAAAUUAUUUGAAAAUUGGACUUUUAAAAAUCAAAGUGUGGAAACAAGAAUAAAGAAUUAAGAAGGUGAGGCACGUGGCCUUCGGGUGGUGCACUGGAGGAUGGCCAUGUAUGGUCAAACAUGCAGGGAGUAGAGUAAUGCAUGGUCUUACGAGGGGAUAGAAAGCAGGGGAUGGGUUCUAGACUCUACUGAUGAUGGCUCAUCUUCAUCCAAAAUCUCAUAGCUUACUUGCAUGGGCUAGUCAUUUGAGUGCUCAUUCGAUUGCCAUGUAAUCUGCUAAAAUAAGAUUGAUCAUUGGAAACAUUCUUUCCUAAGGAAGGCUUGCAAGUUUCAAAAAGCUUCCCCACAUCGAUUAAUGAAGCCUUCUCAUCAGCUGAAACUGAAACGAGCUCGGGAAAUUCAAAUGAUAGGGAAUGGGCAAGACCAGAAUGAGGAAUCCACGUUGAAACCUCCAGCAUAGUCCCAUAUGCUCAUGGUCAAGCUGAGUUGCAUGCAGCUGCAAGAGAGCCACAACGUUCUACCAACUCCGGUCUAUACGUGUGCAAUGACUCUAGGUACUACAAGACAGCCAUGCAUGGGGAAUUUAUGCAUGUGAGGCCCAAGGUGCAAAGGAACUAAAGGCCGGUUAGGUGGUAGAUUGUGUAGGGAAUUACAACAUCUGAAUUUUCAUCAUAAUGUGUGGAAACACUUAGUUCAUACUUUUGGCCCCUACCAAUUGUUGCCUUCAAAUCAGUUGUGUCCAUACUUGUUUACCAAGACAAAUUUUCUCUUACACCCAUCAUAAGAACUUGUAUAUACAACUUAUAGAUGCACGUUCAAGGCUUUGAACCAUUCCAUUGAACAUCAAGAACUCCUUCUUAAGGUCAACCAAUCUAAGUGGAUGGUUCCUUUCCCAAAACAAUUCACCAAAGCAAAGGAUUUCAACUUACCCUUACAGCUUACUAGAAACUCCAUAUUGGGUAAUGGGGAGGCACUCCAUGAGUUAUAAACUCUCGAGGAAGCUGAAACUUUGGCUAGAGAGACUAAACCAUUGUCUGAUAAGAAUAUGCAUUAACGGAGGCAAAACUUUUUCAAAUAUGGGCAGCCCUGGCCUUUUCCAGCCUCAAGGCAUGCUCCAAGUAUUUCUUGGUUGAUGGGUAAAACUCUAGUAUGUUGCUGAAACUUCUCCAGAAUAGCUCCAUCUUCAGAACCACCAGAUUCAAGGUCUUGGUCCUUGUCUGGGUCGCUCAGUUUAAUUUCUUUAAAGCUGCAACUAUCCACAUGUCUUGCUUUCACCUGGACUCUUUCUCUAUUCAUCUUCAAGUUCCCAAUAUUUGUACCAAUGUCGGGAUUACAUGCUGCACCUUUGACACAUCUGCAAACUCAUCAGCUUCUAAUGGAUUUUCCAACUCUUGCAUAUUCCUAAACAGUUCCAAGGCUUCCUUUGGUUGCUCAUUUUGAGCAUACCUGAAGUCAUCACUACUUAAUACCAGACACUCGAAUUGUUCCCAAGCUUAGACCUAAGAUGAAAAGCCAUUCUAAAGAGACUAUGUCGUGGAAAUUAGAUUCAUAUUUCUUGAAGGUUGUUGUAGGUGGCAUAAUGCCAAACAGACAUGGCAGUCAUGAAGAGAUGGGUUAGGAGGAUGGGUUUGAAGUUGAAGGAUGGGAAGGUGGUGAGUUUGGCGGGUGUGAAGGUUGGGGAAAUGGUUGGAUUGAGAAAAUUUGGGUUUGAUAGAGGGAGGCUUUGGUGAGAGGUUUUACAAAGGCUUUCGGAUGGCCUUGCAUAGCCAUGCAAAAAUGGGAAGGAUGGUGGUGAAUAGGUGAAACUAAUAAUGUGGUUGAGAAGUGAGUCCUGCACAGCUUCUUUCUUUGUAUCAUGAUAGAAACUGAGAGACUCCCAAGGUAAUGAACUGUUCAAGCUUGACUCCGAGAAUUUAAAUUUGAAAAUAAAUCUGGAGGGGAUGUGCAUCACUCUCUAAUGGGACAACAUGUAGUUUCAAUGCGAGUGAAAUUUGGAUCAUGACAAAGAUCAUCAUCUCCCAGGAAGAACUUCCCCAUUCGGUUUCCUAAACUACAACCCAUUUUGGUGAUCACCCCAUUCAGCUCCAGCAGCAUAGAUGCAUGAACCAUCAACAGUCAAAAGGCAACACUAAUACCCCGAUAUGGCAGUCACCAAUUCUGAGCAGAGUAACCAAGCGACUCCAUGAGCAGUGAAACAACAUUUACCCAAAUUCAGAAACUGUGCCCAUAUGAAAACCAAUGGCAAUGCUGGCCAAAACUAUUCUCCUUGGGGGUAUGAAUGGCCACUGAGAAUAAAGAGUAAACAAUAAGGGAGCAAGCAUAAAAACAGAGCAUCAUAUUGAAGUCGAUGGGCUUAUGUAUAGGUGGGCAAAACCAGGUGGAAAUAAGAUCAAAGAUAUGACUCAGACACCCAAAGGAAAGCUAAAAAGGAAUUAGAUCACUUUUAAACAAAUUUCACAUAAAGAACAAGGUAUGGAUUAUUUAUAACACAAUCACGGCAACAUAAAGAAAAUCAACUGCAAUAAAUAUAUGGUCCAGUAAACAUACCUGAAAAGGCUCCCCUCCAGCGAGACUAGCUAGGUUUCAAGCUACUCUACUUCUUCUCCUAAAAAAAAUGGCUCCUUCACAGUCUAAAAUGCUCCAUAUUUUCUUCUGUUAACUCUCUUUUCUCCGACUCCUCUCAACCUUUCUCCCUAUCUAUCCCACAGUCUCGUUCAACCCCCUCUCUUACAGCUCUCCCAUGGUUUUUAAACUCCUUUUCCCUAAUUGUCUCUCACCCCCUCUCAUGCUCUGUUUUUGCUCCUGAAAUCUUGUUGCCCAAGCUCACUCCCCAAACAUCUCUGAAUCCUCCUGCCACGCGUCACCUACUGGUUCCCCACAUAAAAGGUCACUGCUCCAGCCCACUCUCUCAAAGCUUGCUACCAAAACCUCCUAAAAGGUGGUAAAAAUGUGCUCCAAAAAUAACCAAAAAAGAACCUAAACCAAAAAUGAGGGUCUACACAAUUAUUUGUCAUGCUAAGACUUAAUCAACCUUCUCAAAUUUUAAAGCAUACGUCUUGGUUUGGCUCUACCAAAAUAAUAAUAAUAAUAAAAUUAUGAAAAAUAUUGAUAAGUGUAUUUUGAUAUUCCUAGGAGUCUAGGACUUGUCACAUUCUCUUCUUGCGUAGGCAAUUGAUGAUUUUGUGUAUCCUGGGAUUCAAGCAAAUCACUAAAGUCUAAAGAAUUACAAUAUACCUAUUUUUUUAUUAGCAUCUUCAUGAUCAAGAUUUAAAAAGGUUUACGUAAAUUUAUUUUACAUGAUCAAUUUCAUAUUGGUCAAUUCUCAAAGACUACAAGCAUCACUCAAGUGUACCCUGACCUAACCUCAUCACAUGCAAUGACAAGUUUCUCCUACCGAUAUAUACAAAAGGUUUUGGGUCUCUCUCCCGUACAUUCACUCAAAAGCGUUUUCCAAACUCAUUACUAAGAAACACAUCAAAGAAAAAGUAGGACAGUAAAAAGCAAAAGUGUUACCAAAAUAUUUUCAAAUCACAUGAAGAUAAAUACUAUGAAUCUUUCUUUAUAUCCUAAUUAUUAUAGUAAAGGUUGAUAUUAAAUACCAAAUAAGGUUUUCUGAGAAAUAAAAGCUAAAUUUGAAUUGAAAACUCUCCAUAUUUUUAUAAUUGUAUACAUCAUAUGUUUAUGGCAUCAACCAUGGCAUACACAUAGUUAAUAAUAAUAAUAAUAAUAUCACCCAAAGCAAUACGUCGUUUAUAGUCUUCACAAACAAGUGUUAAAAGUCUUCCUAUACAAGUGGUUAAUGUGACGCCACACCCUGAGCUGCAUAAUUAAUGUAACAUAAAAGAAAAUUAAUAUGUCAAAAUUCAAAAAAACCUGGGCCCUCCACAACCAAAGUCAACACAUAAAACAUUACCUGUCGCAUCAAUGCAAUAACUUACCCUACCGUUAAACGCCCAUUGCAACAAAAAUUCUUUUUAUUUUAUUUUAUCUCUGCCUUGUGACCGAGUGGAACCCACCCCAUUCAAAAUUGCCCAAAUCUAAACUCUUCGUUUUAAAGUUCUUAAAAUAAAAAAUAAAAAAGUGACGCACAAAUGAACUUAAUAACUUAAUAUAAUUUAAUAAUUUAAUUUAAUUCAUUGAGAUAACUUAUAUCAUAAUUUAAGGUUAAAAAUUAUUUUAAUUAUUAAAUGAAAAUAGCUAACUUAUUUUAAUCUCAAUUUUAUUUUUACCACAUUUGUCCAUAUUUAAUGAGAGGAUAUUUGAUGAUAAUGACUUUAAAUUUAUAACUCAUUUUUUAUAAUAAAUAUUUUUAUGAUUAUUUUAUUUUUAAAAUAGGUGAAAGUAUAAAUAUUAAUAAAAAUUAAUGAGAGUAAAUAUAUCAAUGUAAUGAUUUAGAAUAAAUUCAAAUUAAUUUUAUCAAAUAAGUUUAAUAUUUAAAAUAAAAUUAAUAUAAUAACUUUUAAGUUCACAAAUUUAGAAUAAUUUAAUUUAAAAUUAAGUUAAAUUAUUAAGUAAUAAGUAUUAAGUUUUAAGAAACAUGCUCAAAGUAAUUUAAUUAUAACUAAAUAUGUUAAAAUAUAUUGAAAAGUAAAAUAGUAUAAAAGAAAAUAUGCUUUUGUUAUAGGUUUAUAUUAACUUACCUAGACAAUUUUUCUCUUAACUGUAUAGUGAUUUGUAACAAUUGAAUAAUCUACCCACAAAACCCUUAUAAUCCUCAACUUAUAUUAAUUUAAUAUUUCAUUCUUUAUUAUUAGGGAUGACAAUGUGCAGGGUAUUGUUGAGUACCUGUCCCACCCUUUAAUAAACAGGUUUGGGAUGGGUUUGUGAUUUUUUUAAAAACCUAGAAUAGGUUCGGGUAUUACCUUGUUUUGCUUGUUCCAUUUCGCCCGAUUAUAUAUAAAAUUAAUUUCAUUUAAUUUUUAGUAUAUAGAUAAUAAUAAUAAAAUAUUUAUCAAUAAAAUAAAUUAUAAAAAUUAUAAUAUUUGAAUUAUUUAUACAAAAUAUUUAUUUUAAUGUAAUUUAAAUAAUAUUUUUAAAAAAUUAAAAAUUUUCAAAAAAAAAAUGUUAAAUGAGAUGAGAGAUGAUGAGUAUGAGAAUUUCUCAUACUCAUCCCAUCGUACUCCGCUUUAUUUAAUUUUUUAAUGAGGUAAGAAUGUGAAUUAUUUUGAAUAAAUCAGGUAGGAUUGGAAUUGGGGUGGCUCAUUACGCUCUAUCGUCAUCCCUAUCUAUUAGUAAAAUGUCUCUUAUCAAACCGCCUCGCUUUUGGCAUUAGCAUUUAAUUUAAUAUUCUCACAAUGUGUAAAAAAAAAAUAAAAAUAAUUUUAAUAAUAGGAAUAUAUAUAUAUAUAUUUUAAGAAAACUAAUAUUUUAGUAAAUAUUGAUUUUUUACUCAUCAUACUUAACUUUUCUUCAUACUCUAUUGUAAUUUACUUCACAAAUGUCCCCAAGGACAUGUUUGGUAGAUAGAAUGUUAAUUUUUUAUGAGAUAUAUAGUAAUAAUUGUUCUUACAAAUAAAAUAUUUUGAAAUUUAGAAAAGUUUAGUUGUUUGGUAAAAUUUAAAAAAUACUUUUAAAAUUUUGAAAAUCACUUGAAGUAUUGAAAAGUCAAUUGUAAUGUUUUUUUUUUUUUAAAAAAAAAAUAUUUGAUAGAUGAUCUUUUAAAAACACUUACAAAGAAAAUACUUUAAGUAAAAUCACUACCAAAACCACUCUUAGAUGAUUUAAAUUUUAUAUCAUCAAAUUUAAUUAAAAAAUAAAACUUAUCAUUUUCUUCACUGAUGAAUAAUUAACUCUUUUUAUCAAAUACCAAUUUUUUUCCGGCUAAUUUGGUAAUUAUAUUAUUAGUGUUUUUCGGAUUUACAUCCAAUAUUAGAUAUUCUAGGUUUAAAGGAGAAAUAAAACUCAUAAACACAACAUUUCUCAAAUGAAUUUAUCUUUAUUGUGAAAAAGUGAGGGCCAUAUUUUACUUUCCUCCUCCAAUGGAAUAAAAUUUUAUUUAAUUAAAACUUUUUAAAAAUAUCAAAAUUAUCAUUAUUUUUUACAAAAAUAAUUUUUAAAUGUGAAAUCAACCCAAGAGUAAAAAUGUGUUUAAUGAUGAUUUUAAGAAGUGUUUUUAAUAUUUUUAGUUCAAGUAUUAAAAAAACUAAAAACACUUUCUUAAAAUUAUUAUCAAACAUAUUCUAAAUAUAUAUUUGAGAAUGAUUAUAGAAAACGUUUUUAACAUUUUAAUAAUAAUUUUUUUUAAAUAUUAUAAAUAUUAUAAACUCUUCCUAAAAUCACUAAUAAACAAACUCUAAAUAUUUGUUAACUUCUACUUAAUACUUCUUAUCCAUCAAUGUGUAACUUUUAAUUUUAAAUGCAAAAUCAUCCUUAUUAUUAUUAUUAUUUUCAAAUGUACAAAUAUUUAUUAAUAAAAAAUUUAAAUUAUUUUUAAAGGAUAGGAAAGAAAAAAAAAAAAAAGAACAACCAGCGUACUGAAGGUGGAACCGAAGGUCCAUAUGAAAAAUCGUUAGGUCGGCAUUACCCAAUCCCUAAGCCGCGUUCUAGAUUUCUAAUCAUCCUUGGCAAUGACUAUACAACCAUUUUAGAAACCUUGGCUCUUAAGAAAUCAUUUCUUUACUGCCCUGUUUUUAAGCGCGUCGCAGGUCUGAAAUCUACUCAUUCUAUUGAUCUAUUCUUCGUUUCAUUCCUAAAUUAAAUAAUUUUCUAUAUAAAUCAUAAACAGGAGUGCCGGAUAAUAAACGUUGUUCUCUGAUGUUUUUGUGAAUUAGGGUUGUGGUCUUGUGGGAUUUUGAAAUCAGAUCGGGAUCUGAAUCAGUUGGAUUAUCAUAGUUCCAUCAUGUCGAUGCUCGAUUCCUUCUUCAACAAGGGCUUCAAAGGUUCGAAAUGGUAAUAUUUCUUUUAUUUUUAUUUUGUUGUUAUUAUUUUUGUUAAAUUCAUUAUUAUUAUUAUUGUUAUUUUCCUUUGGUUUCUGGGAAGAAGCAAUAAUUUUAGUAUUUGAUCAUGGGAAAAAAAUAUCCAUCUGGGUUUGAUACCUUCUAUAAGGGCGACAAAGCUUCCAAAUGGUGCCGCCUUUUCUUUCUUCAUAACAGUGUUGUGUUUGGUUUCAGAGGACACCAAAGAAAAAAGGGGUCUCGAAUUUUUAAUUUUAAUUAUGAAAAAAAAAGUGCCCAACUGGAUUUGAUACGGCAAUCGUGUUGCUUAGUUAUUUUGGAUUUUUUUUUCCAUGUUAAUAUGCUGAAUUGAGUUUGAAUUCCACGUUGAGAUUGAGAAUUUGGCAAGUUUGUUGAGUGCUGAAAUUCUUGUUUUAUUUGAUGCAAUUGUUUUCGUAUAUGACAUUUGUUUUUGGGUUUUUGGGUUCUGAUAUGAAUUUCUGUCAUUUGUUGCCGUUAUCAUAUAUAACAUUAGUAAUUUGAUUUUUGGGUUCUGAUGUGAAUUUUUGUCGAUUGUUUCCAAUUGCAGUAAAACCCUACUGAAACUUACAAUCCCUCGCAUAAAGUUGUUAAGGAACAGGAGAGAGAUUCAGAUAAAGCAAAUGCGCCGAGACAUUGCUAAGCUUCUUGAGACUGGUCAAGAAGCUACUGCUCGAAUCCGGGUAGAAACUGUUUUCAUUCUUGUUUAAAGGGCUUUGCUAAAAUUGAAGAAUUACUAGUUACUUUUGAGUUUUCUAGUAGUGAUACUAGUAUGGUGGUUAUGAUCUUCUGGAUUUUUUAUUUUUAGGUGGAGCAUAUAAUAAGAGAAGAGAAUAUGAUGGCUGCUCAAGAGAUCAUUGAGCUGUACUGUGAGCUUAUUUCUGUUCGCCUCCCAAUCAUUGAAACACAAAGGUUAUUUUCAAAUUGAAUUUCUGGCUCUAUCUAACAUGGUUUUUUUUUUUUUAAAUGUUUUCUUUGCUGUUGUUAUCAUCAUAUUAGUACUUUUGAAUUCUUGUUUGAGUUCGUGGUUUUAAUUAGAUUUACAUGGUGCAAUCAAUGAGAUGAAUUCAAGACUGGAAGGAUUUGAGGUUUGAUUUAGUCAGGAGAAUUUUGGCCAAAAUAGGGAUGUUUUGGGAAAUAUAUAUAUAUUUUCAAAUCACUCAAUUUGAAUUGUUUCAGUUUUUUGGCCAAGAAUUUUGUUACAAAGGGAAAUUUGUUGGAAGUCUUCUCCAAGUAAUUUAAUAUGUUCAAAAAUUGGGUUGGCAGUUUUGGUUGCAAACCUGUAUUUGGACAAGUUGGCUUCGAGGGAAAUAAAUUCAUUGAAAAUUGUGGAUCAAAAACUAUGUUCGAGUUAUUAACACAUGUAUGUAUAAUCUAUCAAAAAAAAAAAAUGAACACAUGUAUGUAUAAGUUUUUCUUUGACGCUUUAAUAUCCUAGAAUAUAUUUGGUAUGUAAGAAUUUACAAGCCCUGAUAUUAGAGUUUGACCCUUGUUGUAAUUUGAAGGGAGAACUUAAAAGAUUUGGGCGAGAAACUGAUGUUUGAAGUUCUAGUUCUUUAACUAGUAUUGUAAAUUUGUAAUUUGUGGUAGCAUGUUUUACUUCAAAUAGACAUGGAGUUAGGCAUGAAGUUCUUUCCUGUAUAUUUGUACAAUACCUUGUUUCUUCAGAUGUCAUUUCACUUUGUAUGAAACAUCCAAAAACACUUCCACCUGUUUAUGGUAUUUCAGAGAACCCUGCAGAUAUACAUCUUACUCCUAUGAUGAUUCCCACUUGUGUAUACUCAGCUGUUGUUCAAACAAAAAAUUUAAGGGUGUGGAGUUGGGACAGAAAAGUUGCAAGCUGCAAAUAUGGAUGUAGAGAGCUACUGGAAAAAGGGCAACAGAAAGAUGGACAUAUAUGGGAAAUGGACAUACAUACUCUUGAUGUGCUAAUACUGUUUCUAAUUUAAUAUGAAUAUAUCAGUGGGUAAAUACCGUAGCAGUUUAUGCCAUUUCAUUUCUCCUCGUUUUUCUGUUUUACUGUUGAGGAUUUUGGCAUGUAUCUUAAUAUGCCAUUUUACUAAACAAACAUAUCUAGCAAAUAAGGAGAAUCCUCUACUGAUGAUUUGGAUAUUUGAUCUAUUCUUUGCUUGGAUCUUUUGCAUGGUUUCAUCUGAGGAGCUACACCUUUGAUUAGGCUUAUGGUAGAAUUAAAGAUGUCUAGUCUUGUCAAAAGGGGAAUUAAAGAUUUUUUUCAUGGACAUCUAGUCUUGGGCAAAUAUCUUCUCCUAUUCACUGGACACUCCUGGACCCACAGCUUGUGGGACACAGUCGGUCACUAGAACCAGCUGUUGCUGGCAGUUUAAAUGUACACUGGGAAAUCUUAUGCACUGGAGAGGAAUUUUUGACACCUUUGGAUGCUGCUCAUAGGAAGUUGAUCUCAGCUAUUGCUCAUUGCAACUGAGUCCUGUAGCUCAUAUCAGGGCAAAAUUCAACUCUACUUUACUACAUGAAUCACAUGCUUGUAGUUUGGUAUUUAUAGUUUCAGUGACAUUUUUCAAAUUCAUUAUGCUUGUGCCAAGUUUGGCAGUAGCAUUACUGGUGGGGAUUUUUUUCCAGAUUUUUGUACUCCUCGGAGCCUUUACGCACUGUAACCUAGGAGUAUUGUUGUCUUUGGUUGCAUAAUACUUUAAUGUGGCACUUUGUGCUCACCUGUCUCUGUUUCCUCCUACCUUGCAAAUGCAGCAUUGUUUAUUCAUAUGGAUUUCUCAGAAUCAUACAUGUGUAGCUAUAGUAUUUCAUUUUCUAAUUCAAUAUAGUCACAGAAAUUGACCAGUGAAAAGAGUUUUCCUAGUUUCUCAAAGAUUUUCCUGUUUUUCUUUGUUACUAUUGAUAAUCGUAAUGUUAUUUCAGGGAAUGUCCCUUAGACCUGAAGGAAGCAAUAUCGAGUUUGUGUUUUGCUGCACCGAGAUGUGCAGAUCUACCAGAGCUGCUGCAGGUUCAAAUGCUAAUGGCCUCCAAAUAUGGGAAGGAAUUUGUAGCGGCUGCAACUGAGCUCAUGCCAGAUUGUGGUGUUUGUCGCCAGGUUAUAUGAACUAUCAACUCAAAGUGCAACUGCUCUCUAUGGAUAAUGGCUGGAAGCAUAGAUUUUUUUACCCAUUUAUUUUCCAAAUAAAAAAGAACUUGUACAUAAUAUUCUUCUUUUCUUUGCAUUUAUAAUUGCAGUUGAUUGAACUGCUUUCUGUCCGUGCUCCUUCUCCUGAUGUGAAACUGAAGCUACUCAAGGAAAUUGCUGAAGAGCAUGGGCUAGAUUGGGAUCCAGCUGCCUCUGAAACUGAGUUUUUCAAGCCACAUGAAGACUUGCUGGUAAGUAAUAUUUAUUACUGCCUUGAUGGCCAUUUUUUGUUCCUGCCUAAUUUGUGUCUUCUCUUUGAAGAAUGGCCCAACACAGUUUGUCAGUGGAUCUAAAUUGCCUCUUCCCAAGGAGAAACAUGAUGAAUCAUUGCACUCUGCCAGUGAACAAACACCCAAGGAAGAGGAUUCUGAUUCUGAUGCUGGCUUCUUCGACCCAUUAGAUUUUCCUGAAGUUCCCAAGGCAACAUUACAGCCAAGAGUGGAUGCCGUCUCCCCCCCUGCAAUGUUCCCACCUUCUCCAUCUGCUCCUCACCAUCAAGUUAAUUAUGAAGCACUGAGACAUUCUGAAGUUAAUGAAAACCUAUUACGUCAACCACAUCCACAACCUCAGGAAGCAGCGGAAGAAAGAACAGUGGCUGACCGAAAUGAAUCGCCUGAUGUUUCAGUCAAAGCUAUGGAAGAUAAACAGUUUGUGCCAUUCAUUUCUCGCCCGAUAUUGGCUUCUGCAUCAUUUUCAGCAAGGCAAAAUAAUCCACCUCCACCUCCCAAUCUCUCAAGAACCAAAACUGAGGCCGAUAUUGAUUUGCAGGAUGUAUUGGCUGCUGCUCAGGUGGCUGCAGAAAGUGCUGAGCGGGCUGCUGCAGCAGCCCGCUCAGCAGCUAGCCUUGCACAGGUCAGAAUUGCUGAAAUCAUGAAGAAAAAUGAUCAGGUCCUUGAUAGUAGCUGUGAGAAUCCAUUCCAUACUGAUACAUCUGAUCAAUCACCUACAACAGAAAAGCCACAUGUCGAUCAUCACAACUCUCUGGGUGAUUCUGAUGGUGUUUCAAAUCCCUUGGAUGCUCAUCAAGACCCUGAGAAUUACCAGGCAUCAGAGGCAUUGAAUCUUCCUUCAUAUGACAGAGACAAGGUGGGUAUUGAUUCCUCACCAUCCGAUGAUCAUGUGAUUGAAGACAAGCCUGCUCAUCACCAACCUCAGAGAUUGCCCUCCAUGGACGACGACUCAUAUUUUUCGUACCCAAACUUAUUCACCUCACAGGGAUCAAAUCUUGGAUCUGGUGUUCAUUCGUUUACGGAUACUUCCCGAUCCACUCAUGAGCACUGAAUCUGAACAACUUGCCAACAAGAUGUUUGCUCAUCUGUUUUUUAAGCUCUUGCUGGUGAGUGGAUUUUAUGUUAUUAGGCUUGUAUGAAGUGCCUUCAUGGUUCUUUCUUUCCUGUAAAGUAGUGCAGCUAUCAGACAUUUCGGAAGCAUAAUUUGUUUAUUAUUGGCUUCCUUGGUGGAAUGCAGCAUAGAGAAAAAAAAUACUACCUGUGUGGUAGGGAAGCCAUUCCGGGUUUUUUUUUUUUACAUCAUUAUGUGCUAGUUAACUUGUAGGAAUAUUUGUGUAAAAACCUUGAUGUUUUGCUGGAAAUAAAGGUUACUUUACCUAUGUUGGAGCCUAUACAUGUUUUCCAAGAAAACAUGGAACAAGUGUACCGAGUCUCUGUCAGCUGCCAAACCCAACUCUGCUUCAAGCUAAUGCUAUAUUUUAUCCUUCAACCAAACCCUCCUGUCUGAAACACCCAGAUCAUCAUUUAUAACAUGAUUUUGGGGGAUUGGAUCAAAUUGAAGAAAGAGAUGAAAUGUAGCAUAUUUCUGGUUUUCAAAUCAAAGAUAAAUUGUAAUGAGUUGUCAAUUCUCAGAGACUGUAUCUCCUGUUUUUAUUAUCAUUUUUUUCCCUUUUUUUUUGGUCAAAAAUACAACAUGAAGAUUAUUUAUCAUGUAGACAAGGAGACGACUAUAAGGUCAAAGUGAUUAUGCAAAAAGAGUUGAAAGAUGGAUGAAACACAGAUGAAAAAUGGAGUGAAACCUACCAAAAACUGGAACCCAAAGCAGAGUCCUUGGCAACAUGUCACAAAUAUUGUAAGAUGUAUAUUUAUGACUUGAUGUUACAUAUCUUUAAGACAAUAUUAGUUUAUAAUUUAUCGUCUGCAGUCGCCAUUAAAGGCAUUAACUAUGAAUUGCUUUGCCUACUUUUUCUUCUUACAAGAAGCAUAGAUUUCAAAGUAUACCACUGAAGUAAUGCCAUAUAUAUAAUCCAGUAUUUCUGUAACUUAACAUAAAUAUUUCCACACUGCUUAAAAGAACAACUCCAUGUAGAGUUGAAAAAGAAACCCUAGAUCAUGAAAAUGGCCCUCCUUUACACUGAUAAAAGUCAAGCAAAUUAGUACAAGUGUCUCACGGGUGUGAAAUUACAGACCAUGCAUCCUUGCACGUGGAGACCUCUCAUCUCUCAAAAGCACACAAACAAAAAAUUAAAAGUGAAAUUGAAAAAUCAAGACCAAACAAGAAAAACAAAGGGACGCCCCUAUCCUAGGUUUAAGCAAACUUGUUUGCCAACACUCCACUGGUAGUGAUGGGGAUUUAGAAGGAAAUACUGGAAAUCAGUUAAUCUGAGAACCACCUCCAGGCCUGCUUUCAAAACUUAUUGGUGGCCUUGUAGGCCCUCUCCUCAAUACACGCGCACUUUCAGCAUCCUCCUGGAUGUCGCAUAACACAUAAAUUCAUCUCAAAAGAUUCAAAUAAAACUUAACCAAAAAUGAAAAAUGAGAGUGAGAGAGAAAGAGAGAGAGAGAGAGAGAGCUCUUACGAAGGUGUUGUUAUCUUGUUGUGUAGUUGAAGGAGAGUCAGCUGACGAUGAGUGUGCUCCUUGUUGUGUAGAAGAACGAGAUUGUUGGGGACUUGCUUCAGUGUCGUCAUCAUCCUUUUGUUCUGAACUGCUUGACGAAGAGUCCCUAGAAGUAGAAGAUUCCAGGCCCAAACACUUGAGAAUAGCCCUUAUAGCUUCUUGAAGAUAAUAGCAUGGAUUGUGAGAGUAGUAAACAGUUGUUGGUCUCUGUGUCAUCUCCCCGGUUGAUGGCUCCUCCAUCUCUAGAUCAUAUUUUUCUUCUUCUUCUCCUCCUCCUCCUUCAAUAUCUAGCUCUUUAAUGGGGUUUGGUGGUGUACCUUCUUUUGAAUGAAUGCUAUACUGCUUCAGUUUUUGACACAUGUACAACACUAUCCUCCAUUCAUUUUUCGUCUUCUAUUUAUUUGGGUUAUAUGGGCAUGCAUUCAUCUGACUGCCACAUUCUUCAAUGCCAUGUUUAGUAUGACAUCACAACCCUUCUGACACAUUUAUAAGAAAAAUAUAUGCAUAAUGACCUUCUAAUCAUCUCUCUUAAGAAAAUAAGAUUAUUAUUGAGACUAAAUAGAAUAUUGAUGGAUUUGUUGGUCCAGAAAGACCCUGUAUGAGUGACCUAGUUUUAUGAAGAACUGCAUGCAUCUUAUUUGGAGAAUAAUUCAACAAAUCAUUUUUUUUUUCUUUUUUAAAGAAAUUAUUAAUCUAGCAGCUUAUUUUUACCAUAGCUCUAUUAAAAGGAAAAACCCUCUAAAUUUGUACUUCAAUAAGUGAAAAUAUUAAAACUCAAUUGCCUCUUAAAACAUUUUAACAGUGCUAUUGGGGUAAUAUGGUCAUCUUAAAUGAUUUGAAAUGAAUGAAAAAGACUCAUCGAUCCUAUAAUUCCCAUUUUAUUUCUUGGGCCAAACCAAAGUUGGACCAUUGGAAAUGGAAAAACCACUAUACAAGGCAAAUUGCAGGGGCACUAAGGUGACAGGAGAGGAGGUAGAAAAUACAGUAAUAAAUAGUCAAGACAGAUAGGAUACCUACUCUUGGGAAAGUGGUCAGGUGAGACUGGCACUUACUCCUCCACCUUCUCCUGCUGUCUUUGGCUCCUUGUACACACUCUCUCUCUUAUUUAAUUGGCCCCACAAUGAAUUUAGCUUCAUUCCCAAAACCUUCGUUGCCGGGGCUCUCUGGGCUAAUUGGCCCCACAAUGAAUUUAGCUUCGUUCCCAAAACCUUCUUCGUCGGGGCCUAGUAUUUGAUUGGAGAGAAAUGAAAAGGUGGCUUUAUUCACGUACUAAAGAAAACAUAUAUACUUGAGUAUAUGGAAGUCAAUUAUUAACUUGUUCAUCUAUACCUUUAUUACAUUUAUAACAUCUCCUUAAUGUCCACCAUAAUUAAGAAUAUCUUUUAUUAAAAUAUCAUUAACUUAACAAAGAAUAAGAAUCUCUUUAGGAUCGGUUUCAAAACAAUUCUGAAAAAUAAAUUUUAAAAAUUGUUUUAAGAUGUUUUAUAAAACAAAAAUUUGUUUGAAAAUCUGAAAUGUUUUUAACAUGUUUAUAAGUAUAUUUUGUGUAUUGACAAUUCUAAGUCAAAACUCCCAUUGUGUCUCGUAGCUCAUAUUCUUCAGAUCUUCCCUUGGACACUUGUCUUUUCCAAAUUGUUCGUAUUUGAAGAUGGCUAGAGGAGUUGGUAAGUGCAUUUGAGGUGAUGGAUGAUGACAAACAGUAACCAAUCGUAUUUUAAAUUUUUAUCUUUUUAUUGGAAAUGAAAUUGAAGCUUAAGAGUGUAAAACAUUGUGUUUAAAACAUUUGAAUUGAUUUUUUAUUGAUUAAACUUAAGGGUAACAAUUUCUACUGUAUUCAUGUCCUUUUUAUUCUUGUUCGAUCAAUUAAACUUUCUUCACAUUUUCAUUCCUUCAUCUUUUUCCAAGAUAUUCUCAACUGUUUGAUGGGUUUUAAAACCCUAAUACUUAAGCCAUCUUUUCAAAUGUGGAGAAAACAACUAUAAGAGAGAAAACUUUGGUUUUUUUAGCUUCAAGUUUCUCUUACCAUAUUGGGGAGUGUUUGCCCUAUGAGAAAAUUUUUAGGAAAAUAAGGUUUUAAUUGAAAAAUCUUUGUUCAAAAUGGGUUGAUUCAUUGUGUUCUUCAUCCUCACUUUCAUAUUGCUCUCAUAUUCAACUUAUUGAGGUAAAACACAAGAUUCUUCUUGUGUGAACUCAAAAAGAGGUCGAGAUCAAAGCUUGGAGUUGAUUCCAAGUGUUUUCCUAAAGAAGAAAGGGGGUAGUUGAAGCUUGAAGGUUCUAGGCAAGUGGUCCGGGAGAUGAUGAAAGACUUGGUUUAGGUAAAACCUUGUACUCAUCUAUUUUUUCUUCUUAGUGGAAUAUUUGAUUGAUUGAGGCCCAUUGUUUUUUAUCUUUUUAGAGGUCUUUCACAUUAAAAAUGGGUGUCAUUGUCUCUCCUUUCUAUCUUGUCUUUUGAUUAGUAUUUCAUAAGAUUAUAGUAUUUUUCAUUGUGUUAUGUUAAUUGGAUUAAUUUGAGCAUGAGUUGAAAUAUGACUGUUGAAUCUUUGAAAGAACAAGAUAUAUUUUAGUUUUUGUUGAUUGAUGACAAGGGGCAUGUGAAAAAAGAGUUCUUAUAUUGAUGUAAUGUCUUGUAUAUCAUGUUUGGGGAGUGUUGUCUCAUUUGCAUUGGACUUGCAUUAAAUAACUUGUUUAGGAGAGUGUUGGUGCAUCCAUUGUUACUUGUGAUUUGCUUGUUUGUUUAUGGGGUUGAAAAAGAAGAUCAAUUUAUAAAGGAAAAAACAAGGGAAUUGUCAACAUUUGUGAGGUACCACCUCUAAUUGUUUUAAAAAACACCUAUUCACCCCUCUUCUAGGUGUUAUCCAUAGAAGAGAUUCAUUUUCAACUGGUAUCAGAGAAAGUUUCAAAGCAAAAAUCAUUUUCGAUCCUUGAAUCUCAAAUAUGGAACCUCAUCAAGAGGGUGCAUCAAUUGGGAGACUCUUUUUAACCAAUGAAAAUUAUUCUCAUUGGAAAGUGAGAAUGCAAUAUUUUCUUAAAAUGUAAAGUGAAAAAAGUAUGGAACCCUUUGAAUUUGGUUGGUCUCCACCUAAGGUGUUGGAUAAAGAAGGUAUACCAACAAAUGUGAUCAAACUCAAAUUAGAAUAGAAUAGAGGUGGAAAUGAAGUUAGUGAAAACAAUGCUAAGGCCAUGCAUUCCAUCUUUAAUGCCAUUAGCAUGGAUGAAUUUCUUAAGAUUGCUACUUGUACCUCAAAUAAGGAAGCUUGGGACAUCCUCCAAUUGACUCAUGAAGGAACCAAUGCUGUUAAAGUGUCCAAACUUCAAAUGUUGACCUUUAGGUUUGAGACAAUUAAGAUGGAAUAUCAUGAGAAUUUUGGAGAGUUUUAUGCAAAAUUGAUGGACAUGGUGAGUUCUAGCUUUAAUCUAGGUGAACCCAUUCCUAACUCCAAAAUGGUUAGAAAGAUUCUAAGAUUUCUUUUUGAGAGAUUUAGAGCAAAGGUCACUGCCAUUGAAGAUUCUAAGGAUGUGGAUUCCUUGAAAGUAAAUGAACUUGUAGGUUCCUUCCAAACCUUUGAAGUGACUCUUGGAUCACCUAGGAAGUCAAAGGGCAUUGCCUUGAAUGCCAUAAAAGAGGAGUCCUUAGGUUCUGAAGGUGAGGGUGAUAAGAAAAUGUCGGAUGGAGAAGACACUAGAUUUGUUAGGAAAUUCAAGAAAUGUAUGAAGUUUAGGAAAUAUAAGAGUAAGUCUAAGGAAGAUGUUAAAAAAUGGAACAAUCCAAUGGGAAAAUCAAGUGGAAAAGACAAAGGGAAAGAUAAAAGUGUCAAAAAGGAGUUAGAGAUUGAGUGCUUCAAAUGUGGGGAAAAAAUGGCACUAUGCCACUAAAUGUCUCUCAAAGAAAAAAGGAAAGAAGGUCAUGUAAGUCACUUGGAGUGACAUAGAAUCCAUUGGAAGUGAGGAAUGUACUAACUUUACCACCUUUAUGUCAAGUGUUAAUGAAGAACCAAUCAAGAAAAAGGUUUUACGUGAGUCUUGUGAGUUAAGUGACUCGAUUUGAUGGUGAUGAAAUACGUUUUAACUCUACAUAUGAGACUUUGUGCAAGGAGUACUUGAGUCUUAAACAAGAACAAGUUGAGUGAAAGGCUUAUAAAAAGAGUUUAAUCAAUGAGGUUAAGACCUUAAAGGGAGAAAAGAAGUCUUUGCUUGAUAAAAUUACCUUUCUUGAAAAUGAACACUUUGACAUGAAAAAAAAAAGUGUGAUAAGUUAAAGAGUGAAAUCAAGUGUUCAAGAAUGAGUUAAGUCUUAGGACGGAAGAAUCACAUCCUAAUUCUAAAAGACUUGAUGAUUUCAUCAAUUCAAGGUGGAAAUCCUUUGAUAAACAAGGCUUAGGUUUUAUUAAUGAAACUAUCACUCCUAAUAGUGGUAAAACAAUUUUUGUUAAGCCUUGUAAAGGAGUGCUCCUUAAGAAAACUCAUUCUAAAUUGAAAUUUCAUUGCAUUCAGUGUACCAAAAUGGAACAUACGAUUGAUAGAUGUUAUGUAAGGAUGUUUGAGAAUUUUUAAAGAAAGUUGACCAACCUAAUGAAUGAAUCAUUUGCUUUGAGAAAUAAGUUGUUGCAAGGUGACAAAAAAGUGUCCAAGGGGAUUUAAUGUCCCUUAUCAUAGUGGUUUCCAUGGAAGCACUUUCAAUGGAAAAACCAAAGUCACAAAUUUCAAGAAAAUAUAGGUGAAAAAGAAUGAAUUUAAUUGCCUUGUUGUCCAUACCACACUUAGAGCUAGUGAGUCACACUCAUUGUACUUUGAUAGUGGUUGCUCAUGUCAUAUAUAUAUAUAAUAAAUCAUUCUUCAUUAAUUUCACUACAUUUGAUGGAGGAAAUGUGAUGUUUGGUGAUGGUAAUAUGGCUUGUGUGAAAGGGAAAGACACCAACAUUCCUAAUCUUGAAGAAGUCUUGCUUGUGGAAGGCUUGUGACAAUAAGUUCAAUGUUUAAUUCUCACAAAAUAUGUGCAAAGUGUUUGAUUUGAAUGUUAAUCAUGUGAUGGUUGGAUUGAGAACUUCAGAUAAUUGUUAUGUUGUUAGUCAAGAUUCAUUAUUUUCUUCCCUUGUUUUUGGUAGUUCAAAACUUGAAUCGAUUGAUUUAUGGCAUCAUAGAUUAGGUCAUCUCAACUUUCGUGACUUGAUUAAGGUUACAAACAAGGAAUUUUUCAAAGGGAUUCCUAAGCUUAGAAAGCCCUACAAUCUUAUUUGUGACGGUUGUAAAAAGGGAAAUCAAGUUAGGAGCAAUUGUAAAAGAGUUGAUGAGAUUGUGACCUCUAAACCUCUAGAACUUUUGCACAUGGACAUUAUGAGACUAAUGAGAAUGGAGAGUUUAAGGGGCAAGAAAUACAUCUUCGAAAUAGUUUAUGACUAUUCUAGGUUUGCAUGGGUUGCAUUCCUACUAGAAAAGAGUGAUGCCUUCAUUAAUUUUAAGGACAUUGGGUUGAAGAUUCAAAAUGAAUAAGGUUAUCCCGUUGGUAGAAUUAGGAGUGAUAGGGGAAAAGAAUUUGAUGAUUUUGAUUUUCUAGAGUUUUGUCACACUUUAGGAAUUAAGCAUGAGUUUUUCGCUCCUAAAACUCCUCUAUAAAAUGGGGUAGCUGAAAGAAAGAAUCGUGUCCUUCAAGAAAUGACCCGAACAAGUCUAAAUUAGCAUGAUCUCCCUACUCAUUUUUGGCCUAAGGUAAUUAAAACUGCUUGCUACACAUCCAAUAGGAUUCAUUUGCAUCCUUAUACUAGGAAAACUUGUUAUGAGCUUAGGAAAUGAAAGAAUCCUAAUAUGAAGCAUUUUAGGUUGUUUGGAAGUAGGUGCUAAGUCUUGAAAGAUCAUGAAAAUCUUGUCAAAUUUGACAUUGUUUUGCAAAAAGACUACUAGUUGAUUGAAGAAAACAAUUAAAAUAUGAAAAAGAAAGUGAGAAGAAAGAAAAUAAAGAAGAAAAAGAUAGAAUGUUGAUAUGGAGAAAAAUGAUUCAGCCAAGAGAAAUAGGUCUAAGGUGACAAAGAAUCAUCCAUUAAGUAAUGUUAUUGGAGAUUUUGAGGAAAACAUGGUAACACUGAGACAAUCCAAGUUGAAUGAGAUAAGUUGCAUAUGCUACACCUUUCAAAUUGAACCCAAGAGUGUUGAGGAAGCCUUAAAUGAUGAAGUUUGGCUAGAAGCUCUUCAUGAGGAAUUGAAUCAAUUCACUAGAAAAGAAGUUUUGUUUUUGGUGCCAAGACUAAAAGAUGUGAAUUUCAUUGGAAUAAAAUGGAUUUUAAAAAAUGAGAUGGAUGAAAAUGGAGUUAUUGUGAGGAAUAGGGCAAGGUUGAUUGCUCAAGGAUUGAAGCAAAGAGAGUUGACUUCGAUGAAAAUUUUGCUUCAAUUGCAAGACUUGAAUCCAUUUGAAUAUGGCAAUUGCUUGUGUGUGGGAGUUUAAGUUGUUUUAAAAGGGUGUCAAAAAGACAUUUCUCAAUGGGAUACUUAAUGAGGAAGUUUAUGUUGAGCAACCAAAAGUUUUUUAAGACCUAAAGUAACCUAAUUAUGUUUAUCGCAUUAGGAAAGCCCUCUAUGGCCUAAAGCAAGCUCCUAGAGCUUGACAUGAGAGACUUGCAUCUUAUCUUCUUAAGAAAGGAUUCAUGAGAGGAGGAGCAGACUAAACUUUGUUCAUUAGAAUAAAUGAAGGAGUGAUUUUAGUAACACAAAUAUAUGUUGAUGACAUAGUUUUUGGGUCUACCUCUAGUGAGUGUGCCUUAUGUUUUGCCGAAAAAUGAAGAGUAAGUUUGAAAUGAGCAUGGUAGGGGAGUUGACUUACUUUCUUGGGUUCCAAGUUAAACAACUCAAAGAUGGGAUCUUCUUAUCCCAAUCCAAAUAUGCUAAGGAACUUGUCAAAAAAUUUGGUCUAGAAUCAACAAAACACUAUAGGACACAUCAAUGGCAACUAGUACAAAGCGAAGUAAGGAUGAAUUCAGAAAGGGAGUAGAUGAAACAUUAUACAUAAGCAUGAUUGGUAGUCUUUUAUACCUCUUAGCUAGUAGACCCGACAUAGCCUUUAUUGUUGGUGCUUGUGCUAGGUAUCUAGCUUGUCCUAGAGAAUCCCAUCUCAUUGCACUUAAACAUGUUAUGAGAUACAUUGUUGGUACAUUAGAGUUAGGUCUUUGGUAUCCUUUUGACACUCAUGUUGAUGUAGCUUGUUAUACAAAUGAUGAUUAGGUUGGUAAUGUCGAUGAUAAAAAAAAACACUUCUAGUGGUUGUUUUUACAUUGGUAAUUGUUUGGUUGCUUAGAUGAGUAUGAAACAAAAUUCAGUUUCACUCUCCACAACUGAAGCAUAAUAUAUAGUUGUUUGGAGUUGUUGCUCAAUUGCUUUGGAUUAAGCAAAUGUUGAGAGAUUAUGGAAUAAGGCAAAGAACCAUGAUUGUGUUUUAUGAUAAUACAAGUGCCAUCAAUCUAUCCAAAAACCCUAUUUUUCAUUUAAUCUAGGACAAAGCAUAUUAAUAUAAGACAUCAUUUCAUUUAUGAAUUGGUAGAAGGCAAAGUUGUCUCCUUAGAAUAUGUCUCAACCAAGGGUUAAAGGGUUGAUAUUCUCACUAAGCAUUUGGAUGUUUUUAGGUUUGAGUCACUUAGGAGCUCCAUAGGCUUAUGUUUUCUGAGUUGAUUCUCUUUAAAGGUCCCUAAGACAUCAUUUCUUGUAUAUAUUUUCAUCCUAGAGGUUUCAUAGGCUUAUUGAGUCGUUGUGUUGCCUUGUUUCUCUAUUCUUGUGAUUCUCAUUCUUGUUGUUUGUUUGGUAUCUCCUCAAAUCCUUUUCCACUUUAUUCUAAACAUGGAUGUUUAUUUUUUAUUUUUUAAACUUGGCAUUGUUUCUUUUCUGGAAAAUGGUUAUUUUGUGCCAUAAUGAUUCAAAGUGAUCCAAGAUAUAAAAAUCCUUCUUGUGUUGGUGAAUGAGAUGGAUUAUAAGGUAUUUAUUAUUUAGCUUUGCUUGGAUAAGCUGCAAGAUACUUAUUUCAUAUUUAUUGAGUGGCUAACAACUUGUGAAGUGCUUUAUGAUUUCAUAAAAACUGAUAAAUGAUUAUUAAAGUUCAAUUAUAGGCCUAUAUCUAUUCAAUGUACCUUAAAGAUUGAGUAAAGUCAUAUAAAUCUUCUUGAGAGUUUGAAUUUGUCUCUUGAUUAUUUACACUCUUCCAAAUAUAUAUAUAUAUAUAUAUAUUAUUCAUUUCCUAGAAUGGUUGAGGCACCUUGACAAUGUUUCUAGUGUAAAAAUCUCCAUUACAAAAGUGGGACAUCUCUUUAUGUUUGUAAUGACCACCUUAGUGAUCUCAAAGUCAAUAUUCUAUCAUAAGUGUUUUGUCAAUAUGUUAUUGAAACAAAAAUAAAAAAUAAAAAAUUUAAAAAAUAAAAACGAGGUGUGAUGUUUGUAUUUAUGUUAAGGGGUUUAUUUUUUACCAUGUUAAAUAGAAAUCCAAUCAAGGGAGAUGUAAAUUGACUUCAAGGGAAAUAAAUUUGAGUUUAUUUAGGGAUGGAUUUGAUCUUAAAAAUGAUUUUUGGUUCAUGGAUAUCUAUAGCCUUAUAAAUGGGGAUAUUUUAUCAUUGUUAGUUCGUUAUGGUCUUAUGAGUGUGCUCUUUGAGCUAAAAAUCGCUUGAUGGAGUGUUAAUAAUUUCUUGCUUUUUAUCCUUGUCAUAUGAGAAAUUGAUAAGUUUCUGAUUACUACCCAAAAAGUGCUAUUUUACACCUUUAAUGCAUUAUGUUUUAAGCACUUUUGUGUAGUAGUUCUCCAUCUUUAGUCCAAUUGGCAUGUUAAGGACCUAGCAAUGUCUUCUAAUCAUAUUUGUGGCUAGUUUUAAUGUUUUGACAGCUUUUUGGAUCAUUAAGACAAGUCAAGCAAAGGAGAGAAGCAAAGAGAAGCAAAGUGAAAAAAAAUCAAGAUGUAGCAGCUGCAGUCUUCUUUCACACUUUUGGAGCACUUCCCGAAGUCCAUUUUUUACAUGCUAUAUACCAUUUCAAAGAUCUGGAAGUCAAGAAUCCAACGCUUCAAACCGUGUACGAUUUGGAGCUGAAAUGAGGAAGAUAUGGCCUUCGUAAGCCAACUGAUCCAGGUUAUGCGAAAAUUUCGCAUUCCGCAAGGUGUUAUGCGAAAUUCGCAUAACAUUCGCAUAUGGUUCGCAUAACCCAUGCGUGUUGCGAAUUUUGCUCUGCCUUUGCCGACUCCACUUUAGAUAUUUUCCUUUGUAUUUUGUGAUGUAAUUUCCUUUAUUAUCCUUGUAACUAACCAAUCAUAAGCUUUUGCUUUUGUAAAGACUUUAUAAGGGGUGGAAAUCACCUCUUGGAAUAUAUAGAAUACGUAUUACGUUUGACACUUAGAGAAUUAUACAGAGCUCUCUCGUUUCUCUUUUCUCUUUAUUAUUUUCUUUUUCUUGGAAGCCAAACAACCUCUAAGGAUGUUUGCCCGGAGAAUGAGAGGCUAAACUUUCGGUUUCUUGGAGUAAAGGAAGCUAGGUGAAAAAUCCAGAUGAAAAGGUGGAAAGCUUCCAUGCAUUAAAUUCAGGUAGUUGGAAUUCAUAAAUGUCUUCUAAAUCCAAAGUUUUGCUUUAAACCCCUUAGAAUCACUUUGAAUGACCAAUACAUGGUAAGCUUCAGGUCUUUAUGGAUGCUUAUUGCUAGAUCCAUAUUAGUCCAUUAGUUAUCAUGUACGAGUCAUUGGAAAGUGAUUCAAGGUGAAGACCCAUAGUGUCUUAAGCCAUUAAUGGACCUUGACUACCAUUUCUAUUGACCUUUUAUGGAUUAAAUCUUCAUUGUCAAACCUAUACCGGUUCGGGAAAUAACUAUAGGUUAAAUCCCCAAUGCGAGGAGAAAAAUCCGGAAUUUUCCACCUUCUAUUCUGAACUUGAUCCUAGCAACCCUUAGCUCCGGGAGACUUUCUUUCUUCCAUUUUUAAUUAGUUUAUGUUAGUUUAGUUUCAAACACUUUCAAAACAAAUUUUAUUUUCUUUUAAACUUUAAGUUUUUGAUUAAGGAAAUCAUUAAAUACAAUUUCUAAUUUUGAGUAUAUCACUGGUAGAAUGAAAACCCAUCCCAGAGUUCGACCCUAGAGCCACUAUACUAUAGUAGCUUUGCUACAUUAGUAUGAGGUCAUAGGUUUUAUAAAUGUUUUUGAUUAAAUGACCCAUUUGGAGUUACACGCGAAUCAGUUUCUCUAUAAUUCAUACUUGGCCAAUCAAUUCAAAAGUCUCUUGGUGAUAUUUUUAUUAUUAUUAUUAUGCAUAUUAGUGAUCAAAUACUAAAUGAUUUUCAUGGUGAGCAUUAACGAAUUUGUUUUUAAUAUCCUUCUUCAGUUUUCUUCCUAUUGUACAACUUUCUUACUCAUUUUUUUAUGAACUUUUUGGCAUAUCUCGAUCAUUAGUUGUUUUGAUCAACUGUUUUUUCAAGAAAAAUUAAAUGUUGUGCAAUGUGACCGAUCGAAUUUUGAUUGACUGUGUUCUUCUAACCUUGGUUGAGAACUAUAUUAUGUGAUCGACUGACUUUCGAUCGAUUGUGUUUUUCUAACCUUGGGAAAACUGUGUUGUGUGAUCGAAGUUGGAUGGAUCCGUCAUCGAUCAAAUGUGUUUUUAUUGGCUUGGCUAAGAAUAACAUUGUGUGAUUGAAAUGUGAUCGAUCGAACUUAUUCUCUGGUGUUUUAAAUUAAAACAAAAAAUAAAACAAAAACAAAAAAUAAAUAAAUAGAAUAAAAUACAUGUUUAAUAGAAAUGAUAAAAGGGUGUCUCUAUCUCAAAUCAAAAUCCUCAAAUUUCUUCCAACCCUAGCUUUUUCCAACCCACUUUUCUUUCAAAACCUUUUUUGCUCAUCAUUUUUUCUUCACCAUAGCAUUUAAAGUUUUCCAUUGCUCUUCACCAUGGAUGGCUUCUAACUCCAAAAUCCCUCUCAUUUCUCUUCGACAAAGCGUGUUUUAGUGUGAGUUAUGGUUUUGACGGCUGGUUGUUCUCCAUUUCUAGGUAAGUUUGGUUUUUCUUUCAAUCUAGGGUUUGAUUAUGGAAGACUUCUCUUUCAUUUUUCAAGGAUUGGUUUCUAUUUUUCUCAUUUGGUUAAGUAGUUUCUUGAUUUUUUUGGCUUGGGUGCUCAAGGUUUCAAAGGGUACAAUGUUGGGUUUGUUACUCUUAAGUUGGUGUUUCAAUUUUUAUCUCAUACUCAUUUCCAGCCUUGUUUUUAGCUUAUUAUUAUGGUUCCUACAUUGAGUACUAGGAAGAGGGUGUGGGUCACAAUCCAACAUUUUGAGAUACCUUUGCCAAGAUGGAUAGUGCUUGUCUUUGGUGUUAAGGUUUGAUUUUUCGUAUCUUGGUUCACCUAAGUCAUUAUAUCUAUUCAUAGAUUUGUAUUGGUUCGGGUGUUCUUGGUGCUCAUUUGGGAUGUUGGUGUUGAUUUUUCAAUGUUUGCAACAUUGUUUUUAGAACUUGAAUGUGAUAUUUUUAUUUGCAAUCUGAUGCUUAAUCUUGGGUUUUUCUUAUUUCUAAAGGUUGCUUUCAUAAAGCUCCUAUUCAAUUUUUUUUGUCCAAUGUCAUGAUAGGUUGAGAGGGAGAAUGCUCAUAUUGAACCUUGUUUUUUUCUUGAUAUAUUUUACAUGAAUAUUCAAUUUUUGUUAGAGCAUCAUUGGUCUAUAUGAUAUUCUUUCAUUUUUAUUGGUACAUCGAUGUGUUUAUUAAGGAGCAUAUUUUCAGGUUUUUGAACAUAUUACUUUCUUCUCUUUGUCACAUUCUAGGACAAAAAAUGAGAGAAUUUUGGAUGUGCAUAAGUGCUAUAUUAAGUAUCUUGAGCUGCUUGUAUAUUUGUGGACUUAUUGAAGAUAAUUUGCACAUUGAUAUUUUUGUAAAUUGAUUCAUUAUGUGCAGGUGAUACUAACUAGUUUUGUGUAUUAAUCUUUGAUGGCAUGUUGUGUAGUGUCUAGUUUGUGAGGUUGAGUGAGUGUGUACCUUGUAUAAAAGUGGGUGGGGUAUACAUGUACUCAUUUGUGCUGUAAAGGGUUUUGUCCCAAAAUUGCUAAAUGGGGAGAUUGUAAGUGUAUUUUGUGUAUUGGUGAUUCCAGGUCAAAACUCCCAUUGUGUCUCGUAGCACAUAUUCUCAAAUCCUCUUUUGGAUCCUUGUCUUUUCCAAAUUGUUCGUGUUUAAGGAUGACUAGAAGAGUUGGUAAGUGCAUUUGAGGUGAUGGAUAUGGAAAACAAUGAUCAAUCGUAUUUUAAAUUUUUAUCCUUUUAUUGGAAAAUGAAAUUGAAGCUUAGGAGUGUAACACAUUGUGUUUAAAACAUUUGGAUCAAUUUUUGAUCGAUCAAACUUAAGGGUAACAAUCUCUAUUGUACCCAGGUCUUUUUUAUUCUUGUUUGAUCGAUCAAACUUUGAUCACAUUUAUAUUACUUCAUUUUUUUCCAAAACAUUCUCAAUCGUUGGAUGGGUUUCAAAACCCUAAUUCUUAAGCCCUCUUUCUAGAUGGGGAGAGAUCAACUGUGAGAGAGAAAACCCUAAUUUUUUUUUUUUUUUAGCUUCAAGUUUCUCUCGCCAUAUUGGGAAGUGUUUGCCUUAUGAGAAAAAAUUUUAGUUUGAAUUGAAAAUAAGUUUUUAAGUGAAAAAUCUUUGUUUAAAAUGAGUUGAUUCAUUAUAUUUUUCAUUAUAGCUCUAAUAUUGCUCUUAUAUGCAACUUAUUGAGGUAAAAUCCAAGAUUCUUCUUGUGUGGACUCAAAAAGAGGUCAAGAUCACUGCUUAGAGUGGAUUCCAAGUGUUUUCCUAUAGAAGAAAAGGGUAGUUGAACCUUGAAGGUUCUAGGCAAGUGGUUCGAAAGAGGAUAAAAGACUUGAGCUGGGUAAAACCUUAUACUCGGCUAAUUUUUCUUCAUAAUGGAUUAUUUGAUUACUUGAGGCCCAUGGUUUUUAAUCUCUUCAAAGGUUUUCCACGUUAAAAAUGGGUGUCAUUAUCUCUCCUUUCUAUAUUGUCUUUUGAUUAGUAUUUCAUAAGCUUAUAGUAUUUUUCAUUGCUUUAUGUUGAUUGGAUUAAUUGGAGCAUGAGAUAAAAUAUGGUUGUUGAAUCUUUAAAAUAACAAAAUAUAUUUUAGUUUUUGUUGAUUGAUGACAAGGGGCAUGUGAAAAAGAGUUUUUAUGUUGAUGUAAUGUCUUAUAUAUCAUGUUGGGGAAGUGUUGUCGAUGACUUGCACUGAAUAACUUGUUUAGGAGAGUGUUGGUGCAUCCAUUGUUACUUGUGAUUUGAGUGUUUGUUUGUUGGGUUGAAAAAGAAGAUCAAUUCAUAGAGGAAAAAUAGGGGAAUUUGUGAGAUACCGCCUCUACACUCCUUUCCCCUUUCUCUCUCUCCUCCUCCUUGGAAGUGUCCCAAGAUCAAGGAAGAGCCAUCAGGUGGAAGAUCUUGGGUUUAUGAGAUUCUAACAACAUCAAUUUAAUUCUUCAACACUUGGAUUCCAAGUUUGGGAACAUCCAAACCUAAAGGUUAGUACUUUAAUCAUAAAGAUAUUUUUUUUCAAAAAAAAUUGCUAUUGUUAUCGUUGCUUAAAUCUAAGAUGCCAACAAAAGUCAAUUCAUAAUAUCUAGUACAACCUUAUAUUUUUACUAAAAUGCCCUUAUGGACACUUAUGAAUCAUAUGCUCAAAAUACCCUUAAAGCAUGUGCUACCAUGAAAUUAAAGCUCGAGUAAGAGUUACGAUGGCCCAUAGGAAAAUGUUGAUUCUCUCAAAAUUUAAUUAUGAAGUUGAUUCAACACUCCACUAAAGAGAGUCAACUACACUCUAAUAUCCUAUGAAAUUACAACGAUCAAAGCUUAGGUCCAUGACCUACUAUUCAUUUCAUGCAAACUCCCUAUGAACUGGUGUCCAUAGUCUAACAAGGUAGUGUUAUCAACCCAUUAUGAUAACCUCUCCAAUCCUUGAGUUAUAGAUCUCACUUAUUAUGUGAUUAACUAACAUACUUUAGCUUCAAGGAACAUAUGUUAAAUUCCAUUUAAGGAAUUCUGAGACCAUAGAUUUCAUAAUUAUGAGUGCUUUGGAUCACUCAAGGGGACACACUAUCUAAAUUCAAUGAGAUAUCACAAUGCCUUUAUUGAGAAUACCUAUUUCCACCAACUUCCAUUAAUAGUGACUCAAUCUAUAGGAAAUAUAUGACCACUUUAGGGUCUCACCCAUAGGGCAAAACCUCCUAUUUAUUUCACCAUAGGCCCAACAAUAUCUUCUCAAGGUUAAGAGUCCAUGCAACAUAGUAGCUUGGUGAAUUAUGAAAAUUUGAUAGCCUUGCGUCAUGAUUCAUCAUAGGUUUUGUUCAAUGUGUAACCAUACACACUAGUGCACUCACCAUGGAACCCUAUCCCGAUGACCAAGACAAACCAUCCUUUUAAUUAGGAACUAGUGCACUAUAGUCUUUACUAGAUUGCCUAAAUCCAUGAACUAACUGUGAACAACUUAUCAUGUUGCAAGGAACCAAUGACUUGUAUCCACUGUGCAACUCCCAAUGCAUCCAAGUCAUGUAUAAUAAUAGUGAUCUAGGUUGAAUGCACAAAUCAAUGUCAAUACACCAAAAAGAUAGCAAUGGGAUAGUUAAGUUUAACUUUGUUACAUCAUGUUUUUCUUUUGGGGGCUUAAUCCCAACAUCUAAUUAGUUAACUUGCUUUAAACCUUAAAAGGUUAUCCCGAGGCAUUAAUUAAUAUAUCUUUUAUGUUUAGCCCUUAGCCCAACUAAGUGGGACCACUUCAUGUCUAAGUUAAGUGUAUAACCAAGAUCCUUGACAUCAAUGUUACCAAGUGAAAAGUUUCAUCUUUAAGCUUGAUCACUUCUACCACAAACAUUAAUCGUCUUGUUCAAAUAGAAUAGUUUAUAUCACUUGAUUCGUUGGGCCACCCCAUCUUUAAGAUGGUGAUGCACCCAAAAUAAAGAUGGGCUUGAUCUUGGGAGCUAUGAGUUUGCCUAUGGCGCUCUCCCACUUAAUAUUUUGUAAAAGUGACUUUUAAAACUUUAGUAAUUAUCUUGAUGAAUAAAUUGUCUUCUUUAAGAAUUUCCAAAAAUAUUUAUUCCUUAAUUAAAAAUCUUGUGUAAUAAGAGAAUGUCCAUAUGAAAUUUUUUUAAUUUUCAUGAGUAUUUUAUCCAAAAAUGACUUUUGAUAAAAUAUCCACUCUCAAAUUUUAAAAUUUAUUUUCAUAAAAAUUCUCUUUCUUCACACAAUUCCAAUUAAUAAAUAUUUUUUCUAGAAAAUGUUUUUAAAAAAAUUAUUUCCAUCAAAUUACUAAAUAUCUUUUGGUAAUAACCUUUAAUGAUAAAUUAUUUCCAAUGAAAAUUUUCACAUGAUAUUUAUUAUCCAAAUUAGAUAUUCUAGUGUAAUAAGGAAACUUCCAAUUUAUAAAAUUUUGAAAACUUGAUAACACCUUAUCCAAUAAGGAAAGAUUUAAUUAUUCAAGGAUUCUAAAAGAUAAGUGUAAAAAAAAUAUUUUAAAUCCUUAAGAAUAAAUUUAGAAAGGAAUUUUAGCUCUCAUAUUCAAAAUCCAUCAUAAUAUCUUUUUCCUUAUUUCUAUACCUUUUCAAUUUAAUAAAUAAUCUUAAUAUGAAAUCUAAUUUUCAAAAUAAUCUAUUCCAUUAAAAUUAUCAAAAAUAAAACUUUUGAUAAUUCCCUUAUGAUAAAUUAUCCAUCUUGAAAAUUUUCAAAAAAUUAUUCUCUCCAAAUUAGGGAUUAGUGUAUAAAAAAAUUUCCAAAAACUUAAAAAAUAAAAACUAGAGAACUCUUUAUACGAAAAAGAAACUUUUAUUUUACAAGGAUUUUCAUCAAAAUAAUUUAGAAUCCUUUGGAAUAAUUUAGAAAAACAAACUUUGCUCUUUAAUUUAUUUUCAUAAGUUUUAUUUUCUUAAUCUACACUAUUCCCAAAUUAAGUAAAUAACAUGCUUUAGAAUCUAAUUUUUAAGAAAAUUUAUAUCCAUUAAAUUACUAAAAGUUUCAUAUUAUUUACAUAAGAGACUUUCAAUAAUUUUGGUAACAUUCUUAAAAUAAAUUAUUCAUCAUGAGAAUUUCCAAAAACUUAAUUUAUUCAUUAAAUUGGAAUACUUGUGCUUGUAAGCAAUAUCUAAUUUUAUAAAGAUUUUAAAAUAAGAGAAUCUUCCUUUAAUAUAGAAACUCAAGUCUUUGAAAAUCUCAAAAUUAGAAACUUUGAAAAAGAGAUCUUCAAAGGAUUUUUUAGAAAAGGAAACUAGAUUCUCUCAUAAUUUUUUUUUAAAAAAAAUCUAUAUAAAAAUUCCUUAAUAUCAUUAUGCCAAUUUUGAAUAAAACAUUAAUUUGGAAAUAACUUUCUCAUGAAAAUUUAUUUUCCAUAAAAAAAAUCCAAAAUUAGCAACUUGGAAAGUAUUUCUCAUCGCAUGCAAUAUAACCAAUAAGUAUAAUAAGGAAAUAAUCGAAAGGAGUUCCCAUGGCCAAGGGAUAUUUUUGCAACUUUCCAAUUUUGCACAAGAGCCAUUGGUUUUCAAUUUUCCAUAACUUAGCACCAACUUUUGGCAUCAAAACUUACCAAAAUAGUCCUCCCAGACAACUAUCCAUGCAAGUGGCAGAUUGCAAUAAAACUUUCCCAAAAAAAAGUGCACCAUGAAUUACUAUCCGUGAUUCAUCACAAUGCAUUAAAAAAAAAAUGCUUGAAUUAGCUUCGAAAGCAACCCCAAAAAGUAACCCACAAUUGAGUCGACAUCCAACCAUAAAUUGAGCCCAACAAGUGGUCCUAAAAACAAGCCCAAAUAAUCAAAAGAAAAUUGACCCAUAUUCAAUCCUGUAAUAGCAUGCCUUUUGCAUAGCUUUUCUUCAAAUGACCACAUCUUAUUUGUUUCAACUUUGAAUUGCAAACUGUUUGAAGCGUUAGAUUCCUGUCUUCCCAAGCUUCAAAACCAUAUGUAGCUUACCUUAAGAAAUUUAUGGGAGGUAGCUUUGAUUUGGAGCCAAAGUGAAAGUUUCUUUGCUAGCAUGAAACUAAAAAAAAAAAAAAAUCUUUCUUCUUUUUCCUUUUUCCUUUUUUUUUUUCAAUACAUUCAAAGGAAGAAUUCAUCAUUUUCCACAACCAUUAAACUCAUUGAUGCUUCAUAGAUGAUGCUCCCGCAAAAAUCAAAUCUUUAUUGAUAUCAUUAAGGAAUUCCUUUCUUGUAGCCCUCCAUAGAUGACAAAAAUAUAUCUUUACGUCAUAAAAUUAAAUCAUAUGCUCCUAUAAUGGAAUUUAUAUCCCAAUCUAUAGAAAAUAUUAAAAAUUUACAAAAAAUGAAAUAUAUGCUCCUUUAAUGGAGCUUACAACCUAAUCUAUGAAGAAACAAAUAAUAUUAAUAAUUAUCCAAUUCAAUCAACACAUGCAAUAAUAAAAAAGAAACAUACAUGUGUCCUUUAGCCAUGGGAUAAUAUCAAGGCUACAAAAAAGAAGUUAGCACACCUUAAACAAAGAUUUAAGCAUACAUAUAACAUUAUGCUUUGAUACCAAUUGUUGGCAUCAUAGAUCUAAGUAAUGAAAGUAAUACCAAUUUUACAAAAAAAAAAAUGAUCUUUAGGGUUAAAGUACUAACCUUUAGGUUUGAAUGUUCUCAAACCUUGAAUCCAAGUGUUGAAUCAAAUCAAUGCCAUUGGAAGUCUUGUAAACAUAAGAUUUUUUGCAUGAUGAUCUUCCUUGAUUUUGACACAUUUUCGAUGGGAGAAAAAAAAGGGUUGGAGGUUAUGACUCUCUUUCUCUCUUAAGGUAGAAGACAACUCUAUUGAAAAGCUAUGAAAACCCUAAUCCUUAAAGGGUAUUUAUAGAGUUCCCUAAUGAGCUUAAGUAACUUGAGCCCACUAAGUGCUUGAUCAUUUAAUCUACCCCAGAACGAGUCUUAAUUGAUUAAUUAACCCAACAAGGCUUACUAAUUAAUCAAUUAGCCAAAUCCAAAGACCUUGUUCACUUACCGUUGUGCAUCCUUAUGUAAUUAUCAAAACACCUUCAUGUACAAAAGUGAACCUAAAGUCAAUCCAACCCUCAUAAACUGUCCUAACAAGGUAUGUAAGCUUAAAUCUGGACCAUUGGGACAUAAAACAACGCUGGCUUUCUCAAAAUCCAUUUAUGAAGUUAAUUCAAUAUCCUAUUACAAAUAAUCAAUUGCACUCCAAUACCCUAUGUAAAUAACAAUGAGACAUUAAGUGCUUGGGUGCAUGACCUAUUAUUCAUUACGUUCAAUUUUCCUAUGAACUGGUAUCCAUAGUCUAAUAAGGUGAAAGCUAUCAGUCUUUCAAAACUACCUCUACUAUCCUUGGGUUGCAGAUCCUUCUAUUGUGUGUUCAACUAACAUGUCUUAGCUCUUAAAGAGUCUAUGUCAAGUUCCACUUAAUGAAAUACUAUGACUAUAAUUUUUAUGAAUACACCUUUUUAGGAUCAACCAAGAGGAUACUCUGUCUCAAUCCUAUUAGAUAUCAUGGUGCCUUUAUUGAGAAUACCUAUUGUUAUCUGUUUUUAUCAAUAGAAUAGGGAAUAUAUAAUUAGCUUACGAUCUCAUUUGUAAGUUAAAGACACUACUACCUUUAGCGUAAGCUUUAUAUUCCCUCAAAGUUGAGAGACAACACAAUGAAACAACUUGGUGUGGUCAUGACUACUUGACAGCCUUAAGUCAUUACUCACUGUAGAUCCUAUCCAAUGUAUAACCAUAUAUAUUAAUGCACUCACCAUAGGAAACUCAUCCUAAUGGCCAAUGGCUAAGACUAACCAUCACUCCAAUUAGGAGGUAAUACACUACAACUUCUAAUGGAUUGUCUAAGUCCAUGAAUCGAUUGUGAACAAGUUAUCUACUCACAAGGAACCUAUGACUUAGAUCUUCCAUGUAACUCCUAAUGCACCCAAGUCAUGUACAAUGUAAAAUAUGUUAAGCGAGAACACUCAUAAAGUACAAUGCAUGGAACAAUGAUAGAUAAAAAUGAAACUAGAAUAUCAUUAAAUAAUAAAUUAUAAAUUUAUUACAUCAUGUUAUGCUUUUAAGGACUCUAUCUUAAUAGACAUCAGGCAAGUCAAGGUAAUGUAAUAUAUGAUAUGAAACCUCUAUCAACAGGGAAAUAAGUGUAAAAGCUCAUAGGAAAGAUAUUUGACAUUUCUCGCUUAUUUUCUAAGUUAACUAACCAAUGUCAAGCAAUAUUUGCAUUACUUAAAAAGAAAAAACACACAAGAUAGGAUAAAGAAUGCAACCAAGACUUCGAGCAAUUGAAAUAAUAACUAACCUAACCUUCUAUCUAAUCAGCACCCGGAUUAGGUGAGAACUUGUAUUUGCACGUUGUUAUAUCACUUCAUGUUGUUAAUUUUGUGCUCUUUCAGAAAGAAGGUUGGGAAGAAAAGUCGAUUUACUACAUCAACAAAGCUUUUAUAGAAGUAGAAACUCGGUACACCUCACUCGAAGAAUUGGUGUGUUAGUUUUCCCUAUCGUUGUAGACCCUUCAUUUUUGAAAUAAUAGCACAUGUUAUUCUAUGUAUUUUCCUUCACUUCAGGUUGCCUUAUAAUCGUCCCAUGGUGGUCCUUUUGCACUCAUUUGGUUUUUUUAAUUUUUUUAGCCACCUUUAGAGAUUCAUUAUCGAGGGAUUUUUAUGGAUCCCAAAUAUGGCCUUAGUUGCACCUUAAUUUAGUUCACCUAAUUGUAUUUUAGGUUUAGUUCACUUAGUUGCAAUUUACAUUUAGUUUACUUAGUUAUCUAGCUCACUUAGUUGUAUUUUAGGUUUAGUUCACUUAGUUGCAUUUUUAGUCUAGCUCACUUAAUUGCAUUUUAGGUUUAGUUCACUUAGUUAUAUUUUAGGUUUAGUUCAUGUAGUUACAUUUUAAGCUUAGUUCACUUAGUUGCAUUCUUAGUUAACUCACUUAGUUGCAUUUCUAAUUUUAGUUCACUUAGUUCGAUCCAUGGUUUAGCUUAUUUAGUGGCAUUUUAGGUCUAAUUCACUUAGUUGCAUCCUUAAUUUUAGUUUGCUUAGUUGCAUUAUAGGUUUAAUUCACUUAGUUUCAUUCUUAGUCUAGCUCACUUAGUUGUAUUUUAGGUUUUGUUCACUUAGUUGCAUUCUUAGUCUAGGACACUUAGGGUUGCAGUCUUAGUCUAGUUCACUUAGAGUUGCAUUUUAAAUUUAGUUCACUUAGUUGCAUUUUAGGUUUAGUUCACUUAGUUGUACCUUAGCUUAGUUGCACUUUUAGGAAGUUCACCAAAUUCAUCUAGGUGCCUUUUAGGAUAGUUCAUCUAGUUGCAUUUUAGUCCAUUCCAUUUAGGUGCACUUUAGGAUAGUUCAUCUAGAUGCAUUUUAGUUCAUUCCGUUUAAGUGCACUUUAGGAUAGUUCAUCUAUAUGCAUUCCUAGUUUAUUUCAUUUAAGUACAUUUAAGGAAAAUUCUUAGUUGAACUUUAGGGUAGCAUUUCAUUGUCACCUUACAUGGCAUGUGCAUGGGCGUUUGUAGACUUGUAUUUUUCAUGUGUGUUAUCACUUGAUGGCGAGACUCGCGUUUUAGUGAAAAACUGAUUUUUAUAAAAAUUUGAGUCGUCACUUAUUUUUGUUAAUUUUUUUAAAGAGAAAACAAAAUAAGAAAUAAAACCUUAAAAUGACUCUUUAUUUUGGAAAAGCAUGUCUUUGAAAAUUGAGUCCGAGUCCAAGGGUUAGGUUACUCAUGUUGGAAUUAAGCCUUUAAAAACAAGACAUAAUGUAACAAAGUUAGACUUAACUAUCUCCUUGCUAUCUCUUUGGUAUAUUAACGUUGAUUUGAGCAUUCAGCUCAUGUCUCUUGCAUUGUACAUGACUUGGGUGCAUUAAGAGUUACACAAAAGAUACAAGUUAUGGGUUCUUGGUAAGUAGAAAAGUUGUCCAUAGUUGGUUCAUGAAUUUGGGCAAUUCAGUAGAGACUGUAGUGCACCACUUUCCUAAUUGGAGGGAUGACUUGUCUUGAUCAUCGAUAUGGGUUUCCCAUGGUGAGCAUACUAGUAUAUGUGAUACACACUGGACAGAACUUACGAUGAAUCAUGACGCAAGACUAUCAAUUGUCAUGAUUCACCAAGCUACUAUACUGCAUGGACUCUCAACCUUGAAAGGAUAUUAAGUAUGUUCCAAAAUCAAUAGGAGACUUUGAACUAUGGGUGAAACCCUAAAGUGGUCAUAUAUCCCUAUGGAUUAGGUCACUAUUGAUGGAGGCUGGUGGCAAUAGGUAUUCUUAAUAGAGGCACCAUGAUAUCUCAUGGGUUGAGACAGUAUGUCCCCUUGGGUGGUCCAAAUGACAUGUGAUCAUGAAAUAAAUGGCCAUAGUAAUUCCUUUAGUGGAAUUUGACAUAUGUUUCUUAAAGUUAGGAUAUGUCAUUUGAUCACAUAAUAAGUGGGAUCUGCAACUCAAUGAUUUGAGAGGUAAUCUUGAUAGGUGACAACACUACCUUGUUAGAUUACGAACACUAGUUCAUGGGGAGUCUACAUACAGUAGAUAGUAAGUCACGGGUUUGAGCACUUGGUGUCUUGUUGUAAUAUACAUAGGGUACUAGAAUGCAUUUGACUCUCUGUAGUGGGAUGUUGAGUCAUUUCAGAAUUUGAUUAUGAGGGAGUCAAUACUCCUAUGGGUCCCAAUGAUCCCUGCUUUGAGCUCAUAUUCCUUAUUGGCAUGGCGUAUGAAGGUUGGAUGAGUUUUUAGUUCACUUUUGUACAUAAAGACGUUUUUUUAAUUACAUAAGGUUGCACAGGGAUGAGUGAGUGGUAUCUCUUAACUGAGUUAAUUAAUUAAUUAGGCCUUGUAUGGUUAAUUAAUCAAUUAGCAACCUUUUUGGGCUAGAUUAAGUUACCCAAGCCCAUGGUGGUUUAAGUCACUUAAGCCUAGUAGGAAGACUAUAAAUAUCGCUUUAAAGGUUAGGGUUCUUAAGUGUUGUCAUUCUCCCCUUCAGUCAAGAGAGAGAACCCUAGCCUCCAUCCUAGAGAUCUCUACCAUCUUAGUACUUAGACAUAAGAAAGAGUCAUCGGGCAGAAGCUCAUGGUGUUUACGAGAUCCAUCAUGACUUUGGAGUUAUCUACAUUGAUUGGAAUUGAUCCAGGAACAUCCGGAUCAAAGGUAUGUGUCUUUAUUCUCUAGAUCUAUGUUUUCUAUGCUAUCAUAUUGUUUUUUAAUACAUGUUUAUCUGCUAUGAUAGAUUUAGAGAGCCUAAGAUAGAUUUGCAUGCACCCUACACGAUCCAGGGUAUAGGAACAGAGUAAACCACGGUUCCCAACAACUCAUUGGGAAUAUACCAUAAGGUAGCACCUCUUUAAGCCCUAAAAUAGGUCUCUACUAAAUAAAUUGAGGUAACUAUGAAAAUUGAUUUGUAAUCAAUAAAUACUAUGAAUUGAGGAAUAUAUCAAAACAAUAAAGAAAACAUAAUCAAGGAAUGCCCUAACAAGCCAUGCAUACUCAAUAAAUCAAUAAUUAAAGAAAUGAAAAAAGUACCUUAACAACAUGUUAAGUGCUUUCAUAAAACAAGAGAGUUAGUUCUCAAACAAUAAAUACAUAUAGAAUAUACAUUUCAUCUAAAUCAAGAAGCAAGGAUAUGACAACAUAGAAAUCAAGCUAAGCAAGAUGAAUUAGUCAUGAGAAUAUAACAUACAUACUAAUGAAGGUAUGAAGGUAUGGAGAUAAGGAGAUAAGGGAAUGAAGUGUACCUUGAUAGCAUAUAAAAACGCUUCCUAAAUAUGAGGUUAAUCAUGAAUAAUAAUAAUGAGCUUUAAAAAAAAUCAAAGAUUAAACCUAUAUAUACACAACAUGUUAGGAUAGAACCCAUAAAAGCAUGACUUGAUGUAAUAAAUUUGGAAUUCGUUAUUUAUUUAACGAUGUUUUGAUUUCACUUUUAUCUAUCCUUAUUCUAUGUAUUAUACUUUAUGAGCAUUCUUGCCUACAUAUUUUGCAUUGUACUUAACUUAGGUGCUUUAGUAGUUGCACAUAAGAUCUAAGUCAUGGUUCCUUGCAAAUAGAUGACUUAUUCACAAUCAGUUCGUGGGUCUAGGUAACUCGUUAGAUGUUGUAGUGUACCACCUGCUAAUUAGAUGAAUGACUAGUCUUGGCUAUCGAGAUGGGUUUCUCAUGAUAAGUGCACCAAUGUAUAUGGUUUACACAUUAGACAAGACCUAUAGUGAAUCUUAAGACUAUCAAGUAAUAAUGACCUCACCAAACCAUUUCAUUGUAUUGUCUCUCAACCUUGAGAGAAUAUUGAGUUUGUGCUAAAGUUAGGAGUGGCUUUGACUUAUGAGUGAGAUCAUAAGUGAAUCAUAUAUUCCCUAUGGAUUGGAUCAUUGUUGAUAAAAUUCGGUAGCAAUAGAUAUUCUCAAUAGAGGCAUCAUGAUAUCUCAUGAGAUUGAGACAGUGUGUUGUUCCCUUGGGUGAUCCUAAGGAAGUGAGUUCAUGAAAACUAUGACCAUAGUAGUUCCUUAAAUGGAACUUGACAUAAGUUUUUUAAGAAUUAAAACAUGUCAGUUGAAUACACAAUAGAAGGAUAUGCAACUCAAGGAUAGUAGAUGUGGUCUUGAAAGGCUGAUAGCUUUCACCUUGUUAGACUACGGACACUAGUUCAUGGGGGAGACUAAACAAAAUGGAGAAUAGGUCACGAACUUGAGCACAUAAUGUCUCGUUGUUAUUUACAUAGGAUACUGGAGUUCAGUUGAUUCUCUAUAGUGAGAUGUUGAAUCAACUUUAAAAUUGGAUUCUGAGGAAGCCAGUACUCCUAUAGGUCCCUAUGGUCCUUGCUCUAAGCUCAUAUACCUUGUUGGCA